ACCAGGAAGGUGGCCGGCUGUCUGGAGCUAAAGAUGGCGCCGCCCAGAAGCUCUGCGACUCUCUCGCCCGUCCCAGAAACAGCUGGCACUCCGUAUUCCACACGGUCACCCGUGCAGCCUGCCCUCCGCGGAGUCCCGGAGCCAAGAAGGCUCCCGCCGGCGCCUGUGCCACAAACCUCUCAGGCCAGGCAGACCCCGUGCUCUCACCAGGAAGGUGGCCGGCUGUCUGGAGCUAAAGAUGGCGCCGCCCAGAAGCUCUGCGACUCUCUCGCCCGUCCCAGAAACAGCUGGCACUCCGUAUUCCACACGGUCACCCGUGCAGCCUGCCCUCCGCGGAGUCCCGGAGCCAAGAAGGCUCCCGCCGGCGCCUGUGCCACAAACCUCUCAGGCCAGGCAGACCCCCGUGCUCUCACCAGGAAGGUGGCCGGCUGUCUGGAGCUGAAGAUGGCGCCGCCCAGAAGCUCUGCGACUCUCUCGCCCGUCCCAGAAACAGCUGGCACUCUGUAUUCCACACGGUCACCCGUGCAGCCUGCCCUCCGCGGAGUCCCGGAGCCAAGAAGGCUCCCGCCGGCGCCUGUGCCACAAACCUCUCAGGCCAGGCAGACCCCCGUGCUCUCACCAGGAAGGUGGCCGGCUGUCUCCAGUUCUUACUUUUAUCAUGCUCUAGUUCCAGGGAUUGAAAUUAUGGCAUUAGGCUUGAUUGUAGGUGCCUUUACUUUUGAUUUCUGAAUGUUGUGUUAUAUUUUGAAGUGACUUCUCUCUGCUUUACAAUUAUUUAAAAUGAUUUUGUCCCUGUAAUCUUUUUAACAAUUUUAUUUUAUCCAACCUGUCUUAUACAUUAAAGUCUCCACUUAUGUGGAAUUUAUUUUGUGUCAAAUGUAAACAAUAACCUCAACUUUGCCUUCAUGCAACAUCAUUUACUUGAUUGUCUCUUUACACUUGGAUUACCUUUAGUAUACAUUAGACUCCUAACUCUAGUUGCUUACUUUCUAUUUUUUCUAUUGACAAAUCAAUUGGUCCAUUUUGAAAUGAUUUUCAGUUUAUAAGCAGGCUUCCUAAAGGAGUCCUCCAUAUUGCUUAUAUUUUACAGCUUCAACUGUUUCUGGUUGUAUCAUUAAGUAUUUGGCAGGGAAGACUAGAGGGAGAGGGAAAGUCAGUGAUGCUAAGACUAAUUCAUAAAAAAACAAGUACAGGCUUAGGGCCUAUCUCAAGGUUUCAUGUGAAUCAGUGCGGAAAUGUUAGUUGAUUUACAGUGUGGAAGAAAUCCUAUUUAUCUAAUAUGUGAGAUGCCUUUAUAAAGCCUCCCUGGGUGGGGAUUUAGAAUGUUCACAGUGAUUAGGGAGGAACACUGCCACUGGUAUCAGUGUGUUGUUGUCUAAAUCAUUGGUGUAAAUAAUAUGAAAAGUAGUAUCUUGAAGAAAUGCUGUGGCUAUUCUCCCAGGACCUCAAUCAACAUGUUUACUGCCUUGCUUUAUCUAAUCUACUGCAGCUCUUUCCUAACAUACUUUGAUGGGUUCUAGCUAUCUUUGGCUACAAUAAACACCUGGUAUAUUUAAGCUUUUACUAUUAUUAUUGCUUAGCUACAUAGAAUGCUUCUUGUAUAGGAAUAGACACACUACUGCCAAGAGAGGAAACGUAACCUGCAGCCACUUUUGUAUCCCAAAUUUACAGACUACGAAGAGCAAACCUAACCCAAUGAAUCAACCAGAUAAUCAACUAACUAAAAUCAUAUAUAGCAGAGGCAGCAUAAAACAUCCAUAACCUAAAUUACUUACUAAUAUGCUUUUCUGAAAAUGUUUGUCACUCAAUCCUGAGUCUAAACUUGUUCCUUAUCCUGUAAAAAUAAUAUCCAGCUUGCCAAAAAUAAAAUUAGCUGUCCAUUACAUGUCAAUGUAAUUUCUAUGCAUUGGUAUAGAACUGAAUCCCGUUGGCUUCUACUUCAUCAUGUGGUAGAGCUCAUCCUUGUUUUCCUGUGAUGUCUGAUGGAAAUGUAAAGAUGCAAAAGAAAAUUUCCCUUGCUUGAUUUUGAAGCAGAAGUUGUGGAUAGAAAUAUGAUGGAGCAUUUGACAACAGACUUUUUAUGCUGGGACUCAACUCUAUCUCAAUCUUGGUUAGAAUAAGUUAGAAGUAAGUAGAUGGCAAUUUAAUUUUCAAACAACUAUUUCCUUCUUGUUGGUUUUCUUCUAAGUUCAUAUAAAUCGCUGCUUUCUACUGCAUUUUCCCUAUCUGUGGGUGCAUAGGUAUGAGGGGGUUGGAACCUCUUCCAUGUAUAGAUGAGCUCACUGGAUCAUAAAGUAUAAAAGUUUUUAUGGUUUAUGUGAUACUUUAAUGGUAGGGGCAUUGGAAACAAUUCGAGACAUAUCAUCAUGCACAUAACACAAAACUGAACUGAGGCUCUCAUUUGACACAUGAGGUAACUGGGGUUGUGAGAGGUUUAAUGGCAUGCCUGUGCUCACACAGUCAAGAAGGGACAGAAUUGUAGAGUCUGGGUCUCUGGACAGUCAGCCCACAAUUCUGUUUAUUGAAGUCAUUCUAUUAGAAAUGUUAAGUGCAUUCUCGGCUACACACCUCUUCUCUCUUUUCUGGGUCACUAAAAGCAUGGUAGGUUGGAAAGUAAAUGUAGAGGCAAAAUUAUCCUGGCUUGUUUUCUUUCAAUCAGAGUAAAAAUUGGGUCUGUCUACAUUAUCACUUUCUCUGUCCUCUGUAGUAAAGAAAAACAGUCCACUGAAUUUUACUUUUUGUGUUACUUGCCUUAUUGUACUGAAAUUGUUCACACUGCUCAUUUUAUAGUUUUAUUUGAGGAGCUAAUGUUACUGCUGAGUUUUAGAGAUAGGCUGUGUUUUUUUUUUUCUUUACCAAGUAAAGUUGUCCCUCAGUGUCACGAAAUUUGGCGUGGGGGUUGGUUCUAAGAUUGGGUAUUGAUAGUAAGCUGAUGAUGUUCCUUGUAUAAAAAUGUCAUGGUGCUUGCAUAUAAAUGAAUCAUACCCUUCAAGAUACUUCAAAUCAUUUUCAUUGGAUUCCCUAUGCUAAUAGUAUGUGAAUUCUAUGUAAACAGUUGUUAGGCUGUACUGUUUAGAGCAUGGUGACAAGAAUAAGUUGACUUUAUAAGUUUAUUAUGGACCGAAAUUUUCUCAAAUAUUUUUGAUUUGUGAUUGAUGGAAUGUGGAACAAAUGAAUGUGGAGGACCAACUGUACUUCAUAAUUUACAAUCUCACUGAUAUUUAACAAGUUAUAUUUCUUCUCUUAUGUAGGAAAUCCUGGGUCUGUUAAUCUUAGCCUAAGUAUAUUUUACCAAAUAGGGCCUAUGGUUUCUAUCCUUCAUAUCCAGGUCUUGACUCCUUCGUCUUCUUUCAGCUCUAAUUCUGACAGUCUCUCUUGACUCCCCCUCCCUGUUCUCUCAUUUCCUACUUCUCUUUAGAAAUGUUUUAACAAUUUACAAGCAGGUUCUAAGCGAGAGUUCCUUUGUCCUCAAAUGGGAAGAUAAACAAUAAAGAGUGCC